rnacentral:misc_RNA from 1 species
UUUCCGUAGGUGAACCUGCGGAAGGAUCAUUGUCGAAGCCUGCCCAGCAGAACGACCCGCGAACUUGUAUAAACAACCGGGGGCAGGGGCGAUCUCGCCCCGUGCCCUCGAGCGGCAGGGAGACACUCGUGCCUUCUUGUCGAACAACGAACCCCGGCGCGGUCUGCGCCAAGGAACUUCAAUUAGAGAGUGCCUCCGGUCGCCUCGGAAACGAUGCGCGUGUCGGAGGCGAAUCUUGUACAAAACCAUAACGACUCUCGGCAACGGAUAUCUCGGCUCUC